GAUGAACGCUGGCGGCGUGCCUAACGCAUGCAAGUCGAGCGGCAGCGAGGGGUGCUUGCACCCUGUCGGCGAGCGGCGGACGGCUGAGUAACGCGUGGGAACGUGCCCCAAAGUGAGGAAUAACUGCCCGAAAGGGUAGCUAAUACCGCAUAUUAUCUUCGGAUCAAAGGAUUUAUCCGCUUUGGGAGCGGCUCGCGUCGGAUUAGGUAGUUGGUGAGGUAAUGGCUCACCAAGCCGACGAUCCGUAGCUGGUCUGAGAGGAUGACCAGCCAGACUGGAACUGAGACACGGUCCAGACUCCUACGGGAGGCAGCAGUGAGGAAUCUUCCACAAUGGGCGAAAGCCUGAUGGAGCAACGCCGCGUGCACGACGAAGGCCUUCGGGUUGUAAACUGCUUUUAUAAGUGAGGAAUAUGACGGUAACUUAUGAAUAAGGAUCGGCUAACUACGU
rnacentral:rRNA from 1 species